rnacentral:rRNA from 1 species
CCCUUAGAGUUUGAUCCUGGCUCAGGAUGAACGCUGGCGGCGCGCCUAACACAUGCAAGUCGAACGGCACCCAUCUUCGGAUGGAAGCGAGUGGCGAACGGCUGAGUAACACGUGGAGAACCUGCCCCCUCCCCCGGGAUAGCCGCCCGAAAGGACGGGUAAUACCGGAUACCCCGGGGUGCCGCAUGGCACCCCGGCUAAAGCCCCGACGGGAGGGGAUGGCUCCGCGGCCCAUCAGGUAGACGGCGGGGUGACGGCCCACCGUGCCGACAACGGGUAGCCGGGUUGAGAGACCGACCGGCCAGAUUGGGACUGAGACACGGCCCAGACUCCUACGGGAGGCAGCAGUGGGGAAUCUUGCGCAAUGGGGGGAACCCUGACACAGCGACGCCGCGUGCGGGACGGAGGCCUUCGGGUCGUAAACCGCUUUCAGCAGGGAAGAGUCAAGACUGUACCUGCAGAAGAAGCCCCGGCUAACUACGUGCCAGCAGCCGCGGUAAUACGUAGGGGGCGAGCGUUAUCCGGAUUCAUUGGGCGUAAAGCGCGCGUAGGCGGCCCGGCAGGCCGGGGGUCGAAGCGGGGGGCUCAACCCCCCGAAGCCCCCGGAACCUCCGCGGCUUGGGUCCGGUAGGGGAGGGUGGAACACCCGGUGUAGCGGUGGAAUGCGCAGAUAUCGGGUGGAACACCGGUGGCGAAGGCGGCCCUCUGGGCCGAGACCGACGCUGAGGCGCGAAAGCUGGGGGAGCGAACAGGAUUAGAUACCCUGGUAGUCCCAGCCGUAAACGAUGGACGCUAGGUGUGGGGGGACGAUCCCCCCGGGCCGCAGCCAACGCAUUAAGCGUCCCGCCUGGGGAGUACGGCCGCAAGG